AUUUAAACGUAUAACAUUUCAUUUUCUAGGGACGUUUUGGAGGUUGGUCUCAUGUAUCUACACACAAUGAAGGUUUAUCACAACAACAUGCAUGCGAAGAACACAUCCGUCAGAGGGGAGGCAUACAACAAAAUACGGGUCACAAGAGGAGUACAACAGAGGAGUGAAAAAGGAUUAGAGGAACCCGAAAACUCUUAUAAAAGAAUGCUACAAAGUUUGCGAAUAUCAACCCAGCAGCAUAGUGAGGAGCUUUUUCAAGUUCUUAGAUGGAAAUUCUGUGAAUCGGACUACAAUUUUUGAACACCCAAUAUUCUGGGACGAUAUGGAUAAGAGACACUAUCUCUUUUGGCUGAGGAGUGGAUCAGAUCCGCUUCGCGUUAAGAACACACUUAAUAAUUCGACGCUGCUGCAAUGGCCCCACGACGAGAGGAUUAAUCCGAUCGUCGAAGAAGAGAACGAGAGAGGAGAGAAUAACUAUAGCAUGGCCUCGCCUUAUGAUUUUGUAAGACUAAUCGAUAACAAGCUCAUGAACUACGAGGAAUUGCCUGAGGAUUUCAAGUGCGAAUACGGGACACAUCAAGAUGCGUUUUUAUAUUAUGUUGAAGGUUUAGUGCCGAAUAUUUGGGAAAUCUUAUUCGAAGAACUUGGUCCGAUCGCGAAGAUAUGAUCUCCCGGAGUUUAGAAGUGUAUCUACUUUGUGGUGAAACUAUGCAGAUUCUUUUCAUUUUCGUGCGCCAAACCAUUAAACAAUAUAGUUUUCUUUAUAUUCUAAGACCUUUCUUUA